UGUGCCCCUGUUUGCAAUCCAGGUAUAACAAUUUCUUAUGAUCAUCUAACAUACACUCGAACUUUUUUGACUCCUUCACAUUCUCGUAGUCUUCCUUUGUAGUUCGCAACACCUGACCUAGAUCAUCGAUAGGACCUUCUACCUUGCCCAUCUUUUCUUUAGCCUCACCCACUGAAGCAUCUGCAAAGGCACCUCCUUGAAUCCAGUCAGAAAUGUUGUCAUCUUCU
rnacentral:lncRNA from 1 species